GUUGCCAAUACAUUUGAGUUUAUUCUAAAGAAACAAGACCUUGGUGUGCAGGAGAUUUGUUUACCCCAAGACCCAAAUCGUGAUGGAUGGGACAGUGACAUGUCAUCUAUUUUGGUCCUUGUCCACCUUCUGCCACCGUCACCUCAUGGAAGCAAGAGACCAGGAAAAACCUCAUCCAGACACGCCAGUGACCACAUUGUGAAGUUUAUCAAGACUGGGACCAGCAUCCAGGGGCAUCUGGAGAGCAUCACGGAAAGCCUUCAACCCUACCUGCUUGCUGUGGGGACCCAGAGGAGUGUGACUCACAAGUACUUCAUUGUGAUUGACAAACAUGCAAUACCUUGUAUGUCAGCAGACUCUCUUGCCUGUUUUGAUGAGCUUUUCAAAGCUAAUUUUGUCUUCGGUACAUGCGUACAACCAGGAUCUGAUAAAUGUGUGCAACUUCUUGCUAACCACAAUUUAUGAAAUUGAUGUUGAUACCGCUAAGGUUAAUCCUAGGGUUGCAGAGUUGAGGGCUCGGAUGCUGCUUUGAGUUACCGUAUGACAUUUUUUUUUGAAACACUUAAUCGCAGAACACCACGGGUCAUUCAAGCAAUUUUUUCCGAAAAAGAGGCUGCUACCGAAGCAUCAUUUUAUGGUGCAUUACCCCAAAUUGGACCGGUUUUGCAUAGCUGGUGCAUGCGCUAUGAGGCUAAGCAUAAUGUCUUUUUAAAAAAUGAAAAAGUUUUAAUAAAUGUAACUAAAACAUUGGCAAAAAAACACUGAAGUAGCAUACAGUUGGCAGACAAUUGGCAUCAACAGUCAUGAUCGAUCCAGGUAAAAUGUUAUCUUUAAAUGUGGUAGAAUGACACCAUGGUUUUGAAUAUUAAAUGGGCCAAAAACCAUGGAAAUAUGUAUCGUUCAGGUUUAGUUGUUUGUCUUAAAGUUCAUUGUGAGAUGCAAGUUUUUCAGAAAAUCCACCAUGUUGUUGUUAACGAUGAGAGGUUACUGGUUGGUUACAUUUGCCCUACAAAACAAUAUGUCUUGAUGAGCAAUUUUAAUGCAUAUAGAGUUGGGUGUACAACAGAGGGACCUUAUGUAGUUGAUGUUAAAGAGCUUUUCUGUCACAAAGCAUUUGAUGUACAGAUGUCUUACAGCUGUGACGAUUCAACUUUGUUUAUUGUCCCAUACUGUUUCCUGUGAUUCUAAAAACUGCACAGUAAGCUCUUUAAAACCAAGAUGUAUUGUAUUGCAAUAUAGGCUUUUUUUAAUUUACUUUUAAUACAGGGGGGACAGAUGCCAAAAUGGCAUUUUACAGAGGCCACAAUUUUAUUUUAUCAUCAGUGUUUUUGAUGUGCGAGACGCCAGUUUCACAAGAGCCUCCAUGUCAUUUUUAGAUGUAUUGAAUUUCAAUAUUGAGCUUUUUUUCUAUGUACAAGUAUUAAAGUGAACCAUUUCAUUUCAUUUCAUUUAAAGUGGCCAACAUUUCAUUUCAGUCCACAAUUGUAUUUUAUUAUCAUCAGUAUUUUGAUGUGUGUACUGCAAGAGUCUUACAUUUAAGAAUA